rfam:Cavia porcellus supercont2_127 genomic scaffold, whole genome shotgun sequence.
GGGGAUAUAGCUUAGUAGUAUAGCACCUGCCUGGCAAACAUAAGAACAUGAGUUCAAUCCCCAUUACCA